CUUAUUUGGCUCAAGUUCUGCCGUUAGGGAAUGCAGAAGCUAGUGCAAUUCGAGUAGAGGAAGAAGGAGAAGAGUAGAGACAAUAUGAGCACCAACUGUUUGAUAAAAUGCCAGUAUGAUUGCUGGGGAUUUUGUGAACCGAGAACACAUAGACGUGGAGUUUCAUUUGAUCUCGGAGCAAGAUAGGAUUGAGAAAACUUUGUUCAGCUGGCCAUUUUGAAAGGAUCUUCUUUUGUCAUGGUAAAUUUACUUGGUCCAAUGAAAGAGGUUCUGUUGUAUGGACCACCUUGGGCAGGGAAGACAAUGUAUACUGCGUUCAAGCUGGAGGACUAUUGUGAGAAAAUCUAAUGCUUCAGCUGAGUAAUUAAGAAUGCUUGAGGCAGAUGCUAAGAAAAAGUCUACAAAACUUUGUCUCUACUGUCUGAUGUAAGGGUGUAUUUUGUCCCGGGCCCGGGCCUAAAUGGGCCUCGAAGGGCUUCGUGGUCUCGGGCUUCGUGGGCCUGGGCUCUGGCGGUUCCGGGCCUGACGGUCCCGGUCUUCGUGGGCUCAAUGGGUGAGAUCAGCCCGUGAC
rnacentral:lncRNA from 1 species